CCCUACCACAUCCUCCUCCACCGGCGCCAGCCAUGGCGUCGCGUCGCUCCCGUGACGGUAAGCGCCUCUCCCCACAGCCCAUCCCCAUCCCUAACCCUAACCCCAACCCCAGCCCGAAUCCUAACCCCGCCCCCUCCCGCCCCAGCCCGCGACCCGGUGCUGGACAUGGUCUUCCAGGCGGCCUCCGGCGACAACCUCCCCCUCUUCAAGGCGCUGGUCACGGUGCUGGACAUGGGCAGGGGCCGCCCCAAGGAGGCGAUUGAGGCGUUGAGGGUGCAAGAGGCUGGGAAGCUCCAAGGUUUCAGCGCGCUGCACGUCGCCGCCACUAGAGGGAGCCUGCGGGUGUGCAGGUACCUCGUCGAGGAGCUGCUGAUAGAUGUGGAUCUGGUCGACAAGGAAGGUAGAACACCUCUGUUGUUUGCAACAUACCACAAUGGGGGUACUGCCGAGUAUCUUCUUGAUCAUGGUGCUGAUCAAGACAAAGCCAAUAAUGAUGGGAUUUCCCUGUUACAUUAUGCCGCUGAAUCAGGCAAUUGUGAAAUGCUAGAGCUUUUGCUUGCAAAAGGAGCUUAUGUUGACCCGGUAGCUCCUCAUGGAACACCACUUCAUGGUGCUGCUGGUGAAGGGCAAUAUGGUGCUGUGAAGAUUUUAUUGGACCACAAUGCAGAUUACAACAAGAUGGUAAAUGGUGUGACACCUCUUAUGGCUGCUAGAGAUGCCAACUCAACAGAAUGUAUCAAGCUCCUAGUUAAGGUUCAGGAGGAGCCCAUGCUUAAACGGGAAAUCAUGGCAUCAGAGCUUAUAUCACUAGGGAGUAUCUCUUUAAAGAAGAAAGAUUAUGCUGUUGCAGCAAAAUUGUACAGUCGGGCAAUGCAGCUUGAUCCUGAUGAUGCAGUCUUGUUCUCAGACAGGAGCUUUUGUUGGCUUCACAUGGGCGAUGGAAGAAAGGCUUUGCUAGAUGCUAAUAAAUGCAGAAAAAUGCGGCCUCACUGGCCAAAAGCUUGUCGCCAGCAGGGUGAAGCUCUGAUGCUACUGAAGGACUAUGAGGGCGCAAGUGAAUGGUUCUUGGAUGGUCUCAAAUUGGACCCAGUGGACACUGACAUCGAGGAUGCAGUACGGGAAGCUAUGAAGUCCUUGAAGGAAGGGGAGCCUUGGCGCAGUGGUAAAGCUGCUGCCUUGUGACCAUGAGGUCAUGGGUUCAAGUCCUGGAAACAGCCUCUUACAAAAAUGUAGGGAAAGGCUGCGUACUAUAGACCCAAAGUGGUCAGACCCUUCCCUGGACCCUGCGCAAGCGGGAGCUACAUGCACCAGGUUUGCCCUUUUUAUGAAGUCCUUGAAGACGUCUCGGAGCACGAAAGCCAGGUGACUGUUUGGGUGUCGCAGGGAAAUCAGUUGAAGACUUGAAAACGGCUCAGGAGUUUCUUCAUUGCGCAAAGACUGGUUUCCUUUAUUAGAAAGUAAAGCGAAGUGUCUGAUGGGAGUAUUACCGUUGCAAGUUUGUAUGAGCUUGGCUGUUGAUCAAUGCAGUAAUGUUGGUGGAAGCUCGUCAGUUGCCAUCUAUCUAUCCUAUGUCAGGUUUGCGGGUCUUGUAUGAAGCUCACUCGCCCGCCGCACGCCGUGUGCCGCGUCCACCAAAAGAUCGCAGCCUUUGCAUUUGUCUUGUUAGUACAAUGUAUGUAGUGACGACGGAGGAGAGGGAUAUGUUUUGUUGGUUUUCUUCGUCCUGUGGCUGCACAAGAAGAGGAGAGCAUAGUAUAUAUAUAUACAAAACCUUUUAUGGUAUCAGUAAACUGUUAGCCGAGUUUAAUAGUUUCUGCAUAUAUUUGGAUGUUCAUUCAGGCAGCCCAUUCAGACUAGCAAACUGCUUUGGUAUUAGGGAGCUCAUCUGUAGCUUUAAUUUAUGGUAUUUGUGUCGAUUA
rnacentral:rRNA from 1 species